rnacentral:rRNA from 1 species
UACGUAGGGUGCGAGCGUUAAUCGGAAUUACUGGGCGUAAAGCGUGCGUAGGCGGUUCGUUAUGUCGGAUGUGAAAGCCCUUGGCUUAACCGAGGAAGUGCAUCCGAAACUGGCGAGCUAGAGUACGAAAGAGGAUCGCGGAAUUCCCGGUGUAGAGGUGAAAUUCGUAGAUAUCGGGAGGAACACCGGUGGCGAAGGCGGCGAUCGUGGGUCGAUACUGACGCUGAGGUGCGAAAGCGUGGGGAGCAAACAGGG